rnacentral:lncRNA from 1 species
UAAUAUUUGUUUCAUUUCACUUCUAAUUAAGAUUUUGGUUGCAAUGGUUAUCUGUAAAAUAUAGAUUUGUGUUCAGCGAUUUUUUUCAAAAUCCUACAAUGAUUCCACGACAAAGAAAGUUUGAAAACUGUUGUUCCAUACCUUCGUUCAACAUGCUAGAAACAAUAUAUAGCAUCGAUGAAUAUAUUAUCGAUAUCUGAUUAUUAAAAUAUUAGUUUAGCCGUCACUCGUAAGUUGGCAUGACCUGCGAGCUUGUGCUAUGCGUUUGCUAAUUGUUUUAUGUUCCUAUGUUGUCUCGAGCAGACAGACAGCUCUUAACCCAGCUGAACAUCGAGAAUGUGACAAUCGGAAAACGAAAGAGUUGUAACAAUGGCUUAUUCAAUCAAGGCACACAUGGAGUCUAAACAACAACAAAAACAACAUAUCCUGAAGUCAACGAGAGGCUAUGUUGCCGUUGUUGUGGUGGUAGUUGUUCACUCUAAGAAACGAGAUCAAGAGAAGUGUCUUGAAGGGGACAAUGUCAGUCAUGUUUCCUUCAACAACUCAAAGACACCCCUACGUAUAUGUAUUAAUUAUUGACUCCUUCCUCACCCACUCUUAACAUGGACUGUGUGCUACUUGAACCUAAGCAUUAGCAAAACAACCAAGUGAUCUCCUCCCUACAAGCAGCAUUAUAGGCCUCCUGUCUUAGCAACAUUAUAAGCUCCAUGGUAAAUCAAUGUCUUAGAUCCUAUAGUAUUUGUUUAUUGACAGUAAGCCACAGAAUACAUAGAUCAGAAUUGGGCACCUAGAGCUGCGAGGCACAAGGGCAACUUUCCAGUGUUUCCACACCUUAAGACGGCCCUGCCCACAGGUAGCAUACAUGAGAUUAUCAUUGCAACAUCAAGAUUAUAAUGGUAACAUCAAGUAUCACAAAACUCAUUGAAUGCAGAAGAUUGUUUCUAUUGAUAUGUACAUUAGGCUGUUCAUUGUUCAACAUGCAUGAUUACACACACACACACACACAUGCACACACAACUAUACAUUUCAUUUGCAAUAUAAAAUUUUGCCUUUAGUAAAUUUUUUAAUUGUAACCUGAGCACUUUGGUAUGUAUGAGAUUGACACACACUCUCUCUAAAUGGUGUUACCCCCAAUGUUGGUAUAAAUUCUAUGUGUCACCAUCACUGAUGAUAUCUCUUGAGAAAUAAACAUCUACAAUAUAGAAAAAAACCCCAGAUAUUGAUUCAGAGAAAUGCAAAGCUUUAUAAAGUUUGGAGACUCCUUGUUAAAGCAUAUGUAUUUUGUAAGUACUUUGACGCCCUAGCAAAUUCUACAUCAUAAGCUGUAGCUUGCUUAGCUUCUGCGUAAAUCCAAUGCUGAUUGUGAAAACAAUAUUACCAAAAUUGAUCUUACUCCUCACAUCCAGAAAAUACUGCAGACCCUCCAAUAUACUCCAUCACCCACCAAUCUUGCAUCCUUACAUUGCAUAAAACUCAAGUAAAAUCUACAAUAGAGCACUGCUCUCAAUAUAGAACAGUCUUUCUCUCUGUCUCUUUCUGUCUCUGUCUGUCUGCCUGCCUGCUUGUCUGUCUGCUUGUCUAUCUGUCUGUCUGUCUCUGUCUGUCUGUCUGUCUGUCUCUCUCUCUCAUACACACAUACACACAUAGACCACAUCCUCCAAAAUGUCUGCUUCACUGAUUUUCAUAAAAUUACUUUCUGACACACUUCAACUGGCUCAUAGAAGUGCUGUCUCCUCUCUCUAUCUCUCUCUCUGCCUUUUCUACUGUUGUGGUCUCUCCUCUUUAGAGCUAUCUGGUGUUUUGUCACUUCCUCACAGGCUCUGAUAACUCACAUACCUCUCCUCCUUUCACCACCUGUGUCACAUUCAGUUUCCCAUUUCUACAAUAACAAGUAUUCCAAGUCUUUCUUCCCCAGAACAUCAGUACACUGAAAUUCCAACUCACAACAUGUGAGAUGGAAUCUCAGCAGUUGUUGAAUAUUAACUAUAUCAAUCUCACCAGUGAAGUAUCUUCAACUCAGAACAUUAAAAAAAAAAUUCUGUAAAAGGAUGUGGCCUAUUGAUUAGGAUAUUGUACUUACAAUCAUAAGAUCAUGGUUUCAAUUUCUAAACUAAGCAGUGUGUUAUGUUCUUGUGCAAAACACUUCAUUUUACACUGUUCCUGUCCCACUCAUCUGUAAAUGAGUUCCCGUAAUAUCUGGAAAGUUAACCCUGCAACAAACCAGCAUCUUAUUCAAGGAGAGGAGGAGCAUUGUAAACUCAGUCACUUAUACAUCAUAGAAACCAUGGUUUAAUGAACCCCUAGGAUUCAUAACUGAGUAAAAUGAAGGACAAGUGCUCGAAUGAUAAAACUGAAAUCUUCCACACACUUUUAUAUGCAUUAAGAUCAUUACCAGACACAGAUCAUCACCACUUUCCUAAGAUCCCCAAUCUUACAUUAUGAAUAUUCAAACUGAACAUCAACAAUUGAUUUUGCCCAUCUGGAAAGAGCAACAAAGCUUUAUGAGGGCAGUACUCUGCUCUACUGACGGAUUAAUAAGAAAAUUCCUGCACUAAUUUCUAAAUUUGGUACGUCACAUGUUUGCAAAGAAUGAGUAUAAUUGAUGAAUCCUACCAUUUGACUGAUUAUUAUUAUUAUUAUUAUUAUUAUUAUUUUUCCCUUUUAGCUGUUGACAUUCAAUGAUUUGUGUAGAUUCCCAUGAAUGCAGUAGUGGAACAAAAGAUGGGUAAUUAUUUCAACAAUACCAGAUAUGAAGAUGGAAUCAACAGGGAAUUUGUGUAAGUGCUUAGAGUUUAGAAAAAGUCAGUUGAAAUGUCUAAAUCAAUUCCAUGUUGGAUUUGGAUAACCAAAGACAUCAAUGGGAAUAUACUGUGGAAUUCCUUUGUGACUGGAGAACAGUUCAAAACCAUGGAUCCUGCUGGUUGCCCACUGGUUUCCCCUCAUUUGAAUAAUUUGAGCAAUAACAAAAAAAAAAAACAAAAAAAAA